UGGGGAAUAUUGCACAAUGGGCGCAAGCCUGAUGCAGCCAUGCCGCGUGUGUGAAGAAGGCCUUCGGGUUGUAAAGCACUUUCAGCGAGGAGGAAGGUGGUGAGCUUAAUACGCUCAUCAAUUGACGUUACUCGCAGAAGAAGCACCGGCUAACUCCGUGCCAGCAGCCGCGGUAAUACGGAGGGUGCAAGCGUUAAUCGGAAUUACUGGGCGUAAAGCGCACGCAGGCGGUUUGUUAAGUCAGAUGUGGAAUCCCCGGGCUCAACCUGGGAACCGCAUUUGAAACUGGCAAGCUAGAGUCUCGUAGAGGGGGGUAGAAUUCCAGGUNUAGCGGUGAAAUGCGUAGAGAUCUGGAGGAAUACCGGUGGCGAAGGCGGCCCCCCUGGACGAAGACUGACGCUCAGGUGCGAAAGCGUGGGGCAGCAAACAGGAUUAGAUACCCUGGUAGUCCAGCGCUGUAAACGAUGUCGAUUUGGAGGUUGUGCCCUUGAGGCGUGGCUUCCGGAGCUAACGCGUUAAAUCGACCGCCUGGGGAGUACGGCCGCAAGGUU
rnacentral:rRNA from 1 species